rnacentral:rRNA from 1 species
UACGUAGGGGGCAAGCGUUGUCCGGAUUUAUUGGGCGUAAAGAGCGUGUAGGCGGCUUUACAGGUCCGUUGUGAAAACUCGAGGCUCAACCUCGAGACGCCGGUGGAAACCGUAAAGCUAGAGUCCGGAAGAGGAGAGUGGAAUUCCUGGUGUAGCGGUGAAAUGCGCAGAUAUCAGGAGGAACACCGGUGGCGAAGGCGGUUCUCUGGGCAUGUCCUGACGCUGGAGGAGCGAAAGUGUGGGGAGCGAACAGG